GAUGAAGAACGCAGCGAAAUGCGAUAAGUAAUGUGAAUUGCAGAAUCCAGUGAAUCAUCGAAUCUUUGAACGCACAUUGCGCCCCCUGGUAUUCCGGGGGGCAUGCCUGUCCGAGCGUCAUUACAACCCUCAAGCUCAGCUUGGUGUUGGGCCCCGCCGCCCCGGCGGGCCCUAAAGUCAGUGGCGGUGCCGUCCGGCUCCGAGCGUAGUAAUUCUUCUCGCUCUGGAGGUCCGGUCGUGUGCUCGCCAGCAACCCCCAAUUUUUUUCAGGUUGACCUCGGAUCAGGUAGGGAUACCCGCUGAACUUAAGCAUAUCAAUAAGCGGAGGA
rnacentral:misc_RNA from 1 species